rnacentral:rRNA from 1 species
UACGUAGGGGGCAAGCGUUGUCCGGAAUCAUUGGGCGUAAAGAGCGUGUAGGCGGCUCGGUAAGUCCGCUCUGAAAGCCCGGGGCUCAACCCUGGGAGGCGGGCGGAUACUGUCGGGCUAGAGUCCGGAAGAGGCGAGUGGAAUUCCUGGUGUAGCGGUGAAAUGCGCAGAUAUCAGGAGGAACACCAAUGGCGAAGGCAGCUCGCUGGGACGGUACUGACGCUGAGACGCGAAAGCGUGGGGAGCAAACAGG